rnacentral:rRNA from 1 species
UACGUAGGGGGGCAAGCGUUUGUUCGGAAUUAUGUGGCGUAAAGCGCACGUAGGCGGCUUUGUAAGUUAGAGGUGAAAGCCCGGGGCUCAACUCCGGAACUGCCUUUAAGACUGCAUCGCUUGAAUUCCGGGAGAGGUGAGUGGAAUUCCGAGUGUAGAGGUGAAAUUCGUAGAUAUUCGGAAGAACACCAGUGGCGAAGGCGGCUCACUGGACCGGUAUUGACGCUGAGGUGCGAAAGCGUGGGGAGCAAACAGG